CGGGGUGUGGCCCAGUUGGUAGGGCGCAGGGCUGGGGGUCCUGAGAUCGCGGGUUCGAGUCCCGCCACCCCGA
rnacentral:tRNA from 1 species